rnacentral:rRNA from 1 species
GUCCACGCCCUAAACUAUGAUUACUCGCUGUCGGCGAUAUACCGUCGGUAGCUAAGCGAAAGCGUUAAGUAAUCCACCUGGGGAGUACGCUCGCAAGGGUGAAACUCAAAGGAAUUGACGGGGCCCGCACAAGCGGAGGAGCAUGUGGUUUAAUUCGAUGGUACGCGAGGAACCUUACCCGGGCUUGAAAGUUAGUGACCGUCUCUGAAAGGAGACUUUUUCGAAGAACACGAAACUAGGUGCUGCAUGGCUGUCGU